UACGGGGGGAGCAAGCGUUGUUCGGAUUUACUGGGCGUAAAGGGCUCGUAGGCGGUUUGUCGCGUCGGGAGUGAAAACUCAGGGCUUAACCCUGAGCCUGCUCCCGAUACGGGCAGACUAGAGGUAUGCAGGGGAGAACGGAAUUCCUGGUGUAGCGGUGAAAUGCGCAGAUAUCAGGAGGAACACCGGUGGCGAAGGCGGUUCUCUGGGCAUUACCUGACGCUGAGGAGCGAAAGUGUGGGGAGCGAACAGG
rnacentral:rRNA from 1 species